UACGUAGGUGGCAAGCGUUGUCCGGAAUUAUUGGGCGUAAAGCGCGCGCAGGCGGCUCGUCAAGCCUGACGUGAAAGCCCCCGGCUCAACCGGGGAGGGUCGUCGGGGACUGGCGAGCUUGAGGUCGGCAGGGGCUGGUGGAAUUCCCGGUGUAGUGGUGAAAUGCGUAGAGAUCGGGAGGAACACCCGUGGCGAAGGCGGCCAGCUGGGCCGUACCUGACGCUGAGGCGCGAAGGCGUGGGGAGCGAACGGG
rnacentral:rRNA from 1 species